rnacentral:rRNA from 1 species
AACGCGAAGAACCUUACCUGGGCUCGAACGGCUAGUCAACGAUCGUGGAAACACGGUUACUCCGCAAGGGGGUCUAGUCGAGGUGCUGCAUGGCUGUCGUCAGCUCGUGUCGUGAGAUGUUGGGUUAAGUCCCGCAACGAGCGCAACCCUUGUCCUGUGUUGCCAUCAUUUAGUUGGGAACUCGCAGGAGACCGCCAGCGAUAAGCUGGAGGAAGGUGGGGAUGACGUCAAGUCCUCAUGGCCUUUAUGUCCAGGGCUACACACGUGCUACAAUGGCCGGUACAAUGCGCUGCUAAGUCGCAAGACGGAGCCAAUCGCAAAAAACCGGUCUCAGUUCGGAUUGCAGGCUGCAACUCGCCUGCAUGAAGCUGGAAUCGCUAGUAAUGGCAUAUCAGAACGAUGCCGUGAAUACGUUCCCGGGCCUUGUACACACCGUAGUAC